rnacentral:ribozyme from 1 species
UCUAUACUAGACUCUGCUAAUGGGGUAGGAUCCGAGACCCUGUAAAGGGUCACAAAGACUCUCCUACUCAACUCCUAUUCCGUCACGUCCCCGUCGUGCAGAGUGGUAACCUGCUCCACCUUAUAUCCAAGCUUGGGUAAACGGACUAGUCCCAACCCCUUAGGCGGAAGGGAAGACUACGGAAAUAAUCCGUAAG